GCGACCCCAGGACGGGAGAGGCCACCCGCCGAGUUUAAGCAUAUCAAUAAGCGGAGGAGAAG
rnacentral:rRNA from 1 species